CAGGCCUAACACAUGCAAGUCGAACGAGAAAUUGGGUUCUCAUGCCUUCGAGAUCCAGGAGGCCGGCAUGGAGCUGGGAUCAGUUGACUAUCGCUUGGGUACUCUCACCUGUAGGUGGGGGAUAACCCUCCCAUAGGUAGGGCUCGUAUCUCGUACUAUCGGCUGUUCACCUUAGGAAUAAAGGGCAAACGGUCUCUAUACGAUGCUGUCCCUGUCUGAUCACCCUUACUCCUAUCAGUUAGGUGGGGUGGUAAUGGCCUACGACUACCACGGUGGGUAGCCCGUCUAAGAUGAUGUACCGCCAUGCUGCUGACUGACAUACCGCACUCAUUCCUACAGGCAGGCAGCAGUGGUGAAUAUCGCUCGGUGGAGGGACAUCACUCACGCACCCACGCCUAGU
rnacentral:rRNA from 1 species